GUCUACGGCCAUGCUACCCUGAACGUGCCCGAUCCCAUCUGAUCUCAGAAGCUAAGCAGGGUUGGGCCUGGUUAGUACUUGGAUGGGAGACCACCUAGGAAGACCAGGUGCUGUAGGCA
rnacentral:rRNA from 1 species